AACGCGAAGAACCUUACCAAGGUUUGACAUCCCCGGACCGCCUGUGAAAGCAGGUUUUCCUCGCAAGAGGACUGGGAGACAGGUGUUGCAUGGCUGUCGUCAGCUCGUGUCGUGAGAUGUUGGGUUAAGUCCCGCAACGAGCGCAACCCUCACCCUAUGUUGCCAGCGUAAAGACGGGAACUCUUAGGGAACUGCCCGUGUAAGCGGGAGGAAGGUGGGGAUGACGUCAAGUCAGCAUGGCCCUUACACCUUGGGCUUGACACAUGCUACAAUGGCCGUUAAACAAAGGGAAGCAAUACCGCGAGGUGGAGCAAAUCUCAAAAAUACGGUCUCAGUUGGGAUUGCAGGCUGCAACUCGCCUGCAUGAACGCGGAAUCGCUAGUAACCGCAGGUCAGCUAAACUGCGGUGAAUACGUUCCCGGGUCUUGUACACACCGA
rnacentral:rRNA from 1 species